CUGCAAAUUGGAGUCCUCCCCUUUGCCACAGAGACGGGACAGCUGAGACAGCAUCUGCACAAACAGCCUGCCCACAGUCCCUGCCAGCCUGCCUCAGCUCUGACCUUGAGGAGCUGCCUCCAAGUGGGAAAGGCAAACUCCCCCUUCCCUUGCAGCCCUGGGCUUCU
rnacentral:sRNA from 1 species